rnacentral:rRNA from 1 species
CGUACGGGAGGCAGCAGUAGGGAAUCUUCCGCAAUGGACGAAAGUCUGACGGAGCAACGCCGCGUGAGUGAGGAAGGCCUUCGGGUCGUAAAGCUCUGUUGUGAGGGAAGAAGCGGUACCGUUCGAAUAGGGCGGUACGUUGACGUACCUCACCAGAAAGCC